AUUGAACGCUGGCGGCAGGCCUAACACAUGCAAGUCGAGCGGAGCGGCGGACGGGUGAGUAAUGCCUAGGAAUCUGCCUGGUAGUGGGGGAUAACGUCCGGAAACGGGCGCUAAUACCGCAUACUUUCAGAUGAGCCUAGGUCGGAUUAGCUGGUUGGUGGGGUAAAGGCCCCCCAAGGCGACGAUCAGUAGCGGGUCUGCGAGGAGGAUCCGCCAAACUGGGACUGGUACACGGCCCAGACCCCUCCGGGAGGCAGCAGUGGGGAAUUUUGGACAAUGGGCGCAAGCCUGAUCGAGCCAUGCCGCGUGUCUGAAGAAGGCCUUCGGGUUGUAAAGGACUUUUGUCAGGGAAGCGGUACCUGAAGAAUAAGCACCGGCUAACUACGUGCCAGCAGCCGCGGUAAUAC
rnacentral:rRNA from 1 species